CGUGACCAAACCACGCCUCGGCACAGUGGCUCGAUACGUUUGCUUCAUGAGCUACAGCGCAUGUGUGGAAGCCUCGGGUAUCUGCGGACCAUCACUACUCAGAAGCUAAUACAUCAGUCAACAUGACGAACUCAGCUAGUGGUCGUACAGGUUUAUUUUUUUCACAAGUUACAAUGUCGUAUUUUUCGUGUACUUAGGGUGAAUGUUUAUUUCUGAUCAAGAAUCCCUUUCCACAUGCGAAGACUACUCCACCUCUGUCGCGGAGCCCCCAGCUCCCCUGCCUCCUCUCCAGCACCAGCUUCGGCACCAGUACCAACUCGGACACCGACCCUGUCAACAUCAACCUCCAGCACGUAACAGCAACGUCUUAUCACCGGUAAGACACGGCAAGAAGAAAAGGGGCAACAGAAAAUUGGACCUUCCAAGCAUACUUGUGGAGAUGCAGGCUGAGGAGGAGUGGAGUCAUGCCCAGCAUGAUGAGAACAUCCAGUUGCUCCUCAGCGAGGCAAGAGAGAAUGAAGCGGCCUUGCGGUGCAGGAGAUGGCCCAGAAUGCUGCCUUCAACCAGUCAUUCCUGGGUGUGCUGGGGCAGCUGGUGCAGGCAGUGGGCAGCCAGCGAGUCCACCUCCCAGAGACUUGAGAUUUAGUUGUAUAUAGUUUUACUUUUAGCCCUCCACUGUAGGAGAGGCCCACCACAGUUUGUAUUUUGCACAUUGUAAAUAGUUUUGAUUUUGCUGCUGACUAAUUAACUAUUUUGUGACUUAUGUGACUGCAUCAUAACUUUUCAUUUUGUCUGUUAAGACACUGGUAGGAAAAGAGUCAACAGUCUCAACCAAACAAUUCUGUAUUCCCUGAUAAUGCAUUUAUGUUUAAUGGGAUUUAACAUGUUUUAACACAAACUCCUUAAUGGUUCAUAAUUCCGUUGACUGAAUUACACCAAAGUAAUACUGAUUUAUCAAACUGGAAUAUUCUUAAAACAGCUGUUUUAAUGUUUUGGUGUUUAAUUUGUCAUGUAAUCUUGCUAACCUUCACAAAUAAAACACUAGCAUAGACACAUCUGCAAAAGGU
ensembl:lncRNA